UGAGCAUGAAGUGAAGGGGGAGGGGAGUGAGCUGAAAUGGUGAAGGUGCUGGAAUGGAGGAAAGAAAGGAAAUUCCCCAAUAGUCAAUCCUGACAUAAAGGUGUUAAAAAAGACAUAAUGGGAUAACCCCAUUCUCACUUCAUUUGUGCUGAUUGCCGUGAAAGAAGGCAAGAAAGGAAUAUGAAGCCUACCAGGAAAACAAAGAACAGCUCAAUUUCGUAAGCAGAAUACGUUGUUGUUUGUUUGUGUAAUAAAAAUUGAGUCCCUCUACAGGGAGGGAGGGGAGGGGAGUGGAGUGGAGUGGAGUGGCUAUACUGCGUGUACUGCUGCCCUUCAGUAUGAUAUUUGUAUGCGAUUUGUGAAGUGUGAUUAAAUGGAGGAGUGAAAAUCAUCGUCUGCACUCUGUAUGUAUUGUGCAAUAUGAGUCAAUUAUCUCUGCAUUGGACGCUUCUCUGCUGUCUCCCUUCCAGGUUUUAGGCCACAUGAAAACAGCAUGCGUCCCUGACAUUGGGGUGGCUACUUUUUGAUUCAGAGUUGACUCUGGAACACAUACUGUUAUUGACAUCAUGGCAUGGUUGUGUAUAGUUGGGCAGUGGAGGUUGAGAAGCAAGCUGGUGUUAAGAUCAUUCCAGGCAAUCUGCCUGAAGAGGAUUCACAACUGUUGAAGGUGGAAAAGGGGAGAGAAUCCAGUGAAAGAUGCAGAGUCAAAAGCAGCAAUAUGUAAGGACAGGUUAUCAUUUUCGCAAGGCCAAAAGCAUAAUUUCAUUUUGUUUCCUCCAUUUUUUGCCACAGCAAAGAUAUAGGCUAAAAGCGCAUGUGUAAUUACGCAUGAUCUGCACACAUCUCAGGUAAUGAAGUUUAAAUUGGGUUAUACUUUUCAAGCUGUGUAACAAUCAAAACGGCAGAUGAAAUCCAAGCAGAAUCCAGUGACUGCGUUCUUCUUUUGUCGGAUUCUUCGAAUGGAAGAGUAACAUUCGAAGAAAGUAGCAAAUGAAGUGCCCUGCGACGAUUAGACAAUAGUGAAUGAAAUGAGGCAGGCCAUAUAUAAACAAGGUGAUCUGGAUACUUGCAAAAUCCAUGAAAGGAAAAGAAUAGCAAGAUGUACUCUUUCAAGGAUAUUGGGAUGGUUUUGAUUUGGGCCAAGAAUGACCAAAAUUCCAAAGUGCAGGUCACCCUGAUACUGGCCUCUGAUAUUUCAAUGCACGGGGCUUUUUAAUCAGCUUAGCUCGUGUAAAUAUGAAGUGCCCAGAUUGUGGUCAGUAGAUCCAUAAAAUACAAGUUAAUUCUUCAGUUGAUGGCUAUGCUACGAACUUGUCGGAUUAGUCUUUUUUUGAAGUGCCAACAUGUAGUUUCAGCAUUUGACAGAAAAAAGAAUUAAGAUUUUCGUGCUAGUGUCCAUGUUUGCACU